UAGGGAAUCUUCCACAAUGGGCGAAGGCCUGAUGGAGCAACGCCGCGUGUGUGAUGAAGGGUUUCGGCUCGUAAAACACUGUUGUAAGAGAAGAAUGACAUUGAGAGUAACUGUUCAAUGUGUGACGGUAUCUUACCAGAAAAGAACGGCUAAAUACGUGCCAG
rnacentral:rRNA from 1 species